UGAGAAAUCAUAAUUUAUUCAAAACUUGUGAUUCAUUCUUUACAUAAACACAAGAUCUCAGUUACAAAGUGUUGUCAUACAUUUGAAAUUCAACUAAAAUCAAAUACCCAGUCGUGAAAAAAAGGAAACUUUGAUUCAAUAAAUAAAUAACAGAAAUGUUUUCAAGCAAACUGCAGCAGGCUAUACGUGGAUUAUCUUUAACAUAUCAAAAACACCGUGUCACCGGGUAAGAUUUUACACUGCAAUUUUACUGCAACGUCUCUGAUUUCUGUCUUUUUUAUUUGGUUUUCUUUUUUACAACUAGAUUUCAUAAAGUUCUUUGGGUUUUGUUUUUUUCCCCUCUCUGAGGUUUAAUAUCGUGUAAGCAGAUUGUGGCCUUUCUGAUGCUUUAAAACACAUCGAAGAUGAAUUUUGGACUUGGUUUUUUUGUGUGUCUGUGUGUUCAGAAAGAAGCCAAAGUGCAUUUUGGAGGCGACAAAGCUGUGAAUUUGCCUUGGCAUCCUCAGUUAGAGUCUGUGCUGAAAGAUUGCCGUUUCGGACACAAACGAUCCCAAAGCAAUAUCAAUAUCAAUAAAUUAUCAAUAAAGUUUGAUCUUAAAAGGGGAGGCACUCCGGCUUCUUCUUGAACACAGCUUUAGAACAAUUUUUAACCCUCGACAUCAUCAGUGCGAUUUUUUUCCACCCAAAAAACUUAAAUAAAUUCAUGAUUGAUACAAAUUAAAACUCAUAUGCGAGUUUAGCUUUAUUACAACCCUAACCCUUAUACCAGAAGUUUCUGGCAACUACUUCAAGGUUCAGUCUUUACCGGGUUAAUGGGUCUGGCUGCACUAUGAUUUAAAAUAUAGUGAAACACGUUUUCUACUUUUUAACCGAAAAUACAGACAGAGCACAUCCCCACUGCUUUACCCAUUUCAGCUGCCCUUUCCCUCUUUACACAGACUGUACUCUUACAUCCAGCACAAGAGAAAACUCGAUUAUAAUUUACAAAAAGCAGCAUAUCGCUAAUAAUUAAAAAAAAGACUGGUGCAAAAAAAGAAGUGGGGGGAGGUGUUACUACAAGCUCAUCAAACCCCAAACAGGAAGAGUAAUACGAUUAUAUCAUCAAAAGAAGCCAAGUCCACAAUGCUUUUUAGCUACUCUACCUGAUAGCACAAAAUAUGUAGAUUUUUGUCAGAAAUUGACAAGAAAAACUAAACUGGUGGAAUCAGCUUAGGCUAAAGAGCAAGCGUUCAGUCAUUAAGGUUUAAGGUCGGCUUCCCAGUUCAUCAGCUCGGAUGACUUUAAAUUAAAGAUUUACAGCAUACUGCUAACAAGCUGAAGCCACUUGUUCCACCUCAAAAUGGGAGAAAAGAAAAAAAUUGUCCUUUGUUUGUUCUUCUAAACCCAACACCCACAACUGAGCAGGAGUCUGAGAGGACGGUUUGUAUUGUAGACAUUCACACAGAGACGGCCAGUCAACACAUACCAACUGCUUUAAAAAAAAAAACGAAUAGUGCAUUUACACUGUGGCAAUACUGUGCAGAGAACAGUCAACGUUAGUGACAGUGUGCUAAAAAUCGGCUCACCUUUUUAUUUCUCCUGAGUCACUUUCUUCUAAAAUAUCAUGAGGGAACUAAAUGAAGGAAUAAAAGGUAAGAAAUGAGCCUCGGCUUGGUUGGCAAUGAAAAUUUGCUGACACAAGCCUCGAGUCAAACUGCUUUCGCUGCCAACUGUAUCUCUACACCUCCUUCUUUCUCAAAGACUGCAGUUUAAACAGCACAGCAGCCACAGACAAGGACAUACAAUCAUUUGGGGAAGUGUUAGUUUGAGGGAAGUUUGAGUUUUCUUGAAUUUAUUUGAAGUUUUGACCAGUUUUCAUAUAUUGCAAUCAUUUUGUGGUAAUAUGUAGGUUUUGAGAUGUAUUUUUUCACCCUUUUCCAUCAUCUUGGAAUUUUAGAGUUGGCUAGACUGGUAGAUAUCCAGUUUGCUCCAAUUGAGUAUAAAGAAUAUGAUCAAAUCUUCAAACUGGUGAAGGUGGAACCAGUUUGUUUUUAGCUGUUUGCACAUCAAAAGAAAGGGAAAAGUGGCUGAUUAUCUGCUUGUUGACUAGUCGGGUGUCUUUGGCUAAACUGAAGCUCCGUGCAUUUAGUAAAACAUGGCAAAAAUCAUGUUAAAGGUAAAAAAUAAGCUCUCAGGAGCGCUCUGUGCAACUGCACAUUACUGACAUCAAUUUGCAUUUCAGCAAUGACUGCAACGCAUUAAAGGUCCCUGUCGAUUUCAACCCUUUCUGGACCUGCACAGGAACCCUGUGUAUUGAUCUCCAUCAGGCUUACACUCUGGUAUUAGUCUCUUUCCCCUUCUCUGACCUUUGACCCUCUGUCCCAAACAGGGCCAGUCGUGCUGAUAUACAAAGUGCUCCUCAGAGUUCACCCUUGUCAGGCGGGAGGGGUGACACAAACACCACGCUCUCCUGCCGAGUGUAAACGAGACGUUGUCACAACGUUCUUUUAAAGUGUUUACA
ensembl:lncRNA